UUAUCUAUUACCGGAUGUUAACAAAUAUUCCAAGUUGCCACAUAACCGCGGGCACGACUUUCCGAAAGAUUAAACCCAUGACGACUAUUCUCUAUUAUUACUAGUUAAAUGCCCGCGCGUUGCCACGGGACAACAUAACAAUGUUUUUUCGUUGCCCUCUUUAUUCUCGGUCCACUCCUUGCUCUAGCUUUGGUAUCACCACUCUACUUCAAUUCAUACAUUUUCACUAUGACGUGAUAAGCUAUCUCUUACUAUACUUGUCAUUUGUUGAUUUAUGGAUUGGUAACACUCAUAUGUAGGUGCGCGUUUUUGAACUAUUUGGAUUUUGGACUACCAGGCUAUUCAAAUAAAUGUUU
rnacentral:lncRNA from 1 species